AUUGAACGCUGGCGGAAUGCUUUACACAUGCAAGUCGAACGGCAGCACGAGGGCAACCUUGGUGGCGAGUGGCGAACGGGUGAGUAAUACAUCGGAACGUGCCCAGUCGUGGGGGAUAACGUAGCGAAAGCUACGCUAAUACCGCAUACGAUCUAUGGAUGAAAGCGGGGGACCGUAAGGCCUCGCGCGAUUGGAGCGGCCGAUGGCAGAUUAGGUAGUUGGUGGGGUAAAGGCUCACCAAGCCUGCGAUCUGUAGCUGGUCUGAGAGGACGACCAGCCACACUGGAACUGAGACACGGUCCAGACUCCUACGGGAGGCAGCAGUGGGGAAUUUUGGACAAUGGGCGCAAGCCUGAUCCAGCCAUUCCGCGUGCAGGAUGAAGGCCUCGGUU
rnacentral:rRNA from 1 species